UGCCGGGCUAGUUUCUGUCCCCAUCAUAACUACCCAUUGCCUACUCCAAGUCUGACCUGACGUCCUCCUGACUGUCAGGUGAUCUCUGGAAAACAUUCUCAGCAGACUAUCAGCUUCCAAAAGCUGUGGCCUUUUCCCUGCUCUGCUGGGACCCACCUGCCUGACGUCCCUGUCAGUUUGUUUGGUCCACCACUGGACACGGGCUCGGCUCAGGAAUUGGGGCUGUCACCUAAAGAAACUCAAAGUGAGCCUUAAUGAACUAUGAAGAAGACUAAAACCCCUAAAGUCAGGGCCUGAAGGCCCGGGAAGCCCAGAAAAGAUCUCAAAUUGUGUUUUUUCAAAAUGGCCAGAGGACUGUGCCCAGGCACCAAGACAAGGUGUUUGCUGAGAACGAGAGUCACCUGGAAGGAACUGGGGGUGACAGGAAGCUGUGCUCAAUUUAAUUCACAGAUUCCAUAAAGACUGACAUGUGAGUGCCCAGAGUGCGGCAUCAGGAAUGGUGGGAUUUGCCUGUGAUUCCAGCACCAGAGAGCUGAUGGCCGAGGAUGGCUCGAGUUCCUUUGGGAAUACGCAGCUAACCAUAGCUGCAGAGUAAGACCGUGCCGAAAAAAGAGGAGGGAAUGGAGAGAAACAUCUCCCUGAAGGCUCUGUAUAUUGGUCUGUCCCCUCCCCCCGAAAUCCCAGAGUCACCCCCAGAGAUGAUGGCAGAGCAGGAAGGGGAAGGCUGGAUCGCCCAGCCCCCACAUCAUCUCUGGGAUCCCAGGCCAGUAUCCAAAUUAGACAGAAACUGAGUCAUCUCAAUUCUCUUAGGGCUUCGCUAUGGGUUUCUGCAGGGGUUACAGUGUGGGCUGCUUUUAGGAACAAUGGCCUCUAGGGGGCAGCAGCACAAAGCAUUUGCCUUUGGCGAGCUCAGCUAUUGUGUCUCGGCCUUGACACCAGUGUUCAGUGAAUGUAAUACUCAGGGAAUAAUACUAGCAUAAAGUUCUCAGCUGUAUCUUCUAGAAGUGCAAGAAAUUCAAAUAGUCCUUUCAAACACACUGCCCCAAAGCCAGCGUGGUGAUGCAUGCCUGUAAUCGCAGAAUUUGGGAGGUGGAGGCAGGUCUGAGAAAUAUGAUCCUGUCUCAAAACACCAAAAUACAAAAAUACAAACAACAACAAAAAAAUAGCAAAGCAGCCCUAUCACAAAAGAGCUGCCCUUGCUCAGAACACUUGAAGAGAGUCGGUGAGCUAGUGCUGUGUGAUAAAACUUCCUGAGGAGGUGUAACACGCAUCUACUCACCCCAGACAGGGCGCCCGUGAGAGACCAGCGUACAGACGCCACCAAAGUCCAGCUUGGUGAGCUAUGAGUUUCACUGGGGGUACUUACAGGAAUAUGGGCGAGGGCUCUAGGCCCAUAUUUCUAUAUGGUAUGGCAGCCAGGCUCUAAAGCCAUAGGCCACACCUGAGAUGGUCACGUAGCCUUCUAGACAGGCUGCUGCUGCCCUUUUAACAAAGGGUCAGGAUGUCCUUUUUGCUCCUUUCUUUGUAAUUUGGAGGAUGCCUGAUAGAGAUGCUGAUUCAAGCCUACGUGCCAGCCAGCAUACAGAGAAGAUAGGUAGAUGUGGACAUGACGAAAAGCCAUUCGCCUGGUUACCUAGGAGACAGAACGCUGGUGUAUUUCCCACUCAGUUUAUGUUUUGGUAUAAAAGCUGUUUGGAGAAUAAACGAGAAGGAAUUCUUCAGGAUGUGGACUCAGGACUUCAGGAGGGACCACUGAGAAUCUCCCUCCCGAUAAAGCCAUGUGAGUUGUGUCUUUAUUCUUGCGCCUCCACUCCAGUCCAGGGAGAUAGUUUAUGUUCGGAUCUGGUUCAGGGAAAUAAUUUAUGGUCCGGGCUAGCACCGGACCCCGACAGAGGGGUUACUUACAGGAGUAGAAACGACUCAAGGGCAGCAGCAUCACCAAAGCCCACCCCAGCGUGGGUGACAGCUCACAAAGAUGGGAACCUGGAGCACACUGCACAGCCUGCAGGCAGCUCAGCAGGUUGGAGGGCAUCCUCUCCACUUUCGGUUGGUAUUACGUCUCUUCUAGGCAGCUCAGGUGGUGUGCUGGUGGAAUCUUCUUUUGAGCUUGGCCCUCUGAGAGCUUUCUCUGCAGCUUGGUUUAUUUGAUGGUCCAUGUGCAGCUCUGUUAGUCUGAGAUGAACUCUCACCUUUUAUUGCUUACUCAGUAAAGGAGGGCCUAGCGAAUCUGGUCAGUUUCAGGGACUUCCUGAAGCCAUUUUGAGUUGUUUAUCUUUCUGUUUAAGGGGCUUCCCUUCAACAUGGAAUGUUUCAAUCCUGAAGGAAACUGUUACACAGCAGAUGGCUCAGAGGGUAAAGUGCCGAAUGUCAAGCCUAAUGUCCCGAGUUCAAUCCCCAGGACCCUGGUGACCUCCAUAUGCGCACCAUGGCACCUGCACAUGCUUGUACACACACACACACACACACACACACACACACUUACACAUGGUAAUAAACUUACGUACCAGAGGGCAUCACACUUAGUGAAAGCCCCAGAUUUGGCCGUCUGUUCACUGAAAGCCAAUGAGAUUAAAACCUGACUCUUCCUGGUCUACCUCCUAAAACUAACAGGACAUAUUAUCCUAGGCUAGUAUGGAGAUGCUUUCCACUAGUCCCAGAAGUCUGGAAGAGGUGGAAGAAAGAUCCAUGGAACCUGGAAGCAUCCAAGCAUCCAACCUGGGCAAUACAGUGAGACUCCACCUCAAAAAACAAAAACAAACAAACAAAAAAAACCCACAAUAAAUUGGAGCCACCAUCAUUUUUGUCCUGAAUGAAAGCAGCCUCUAAAGUAGUCUCAACACAGUCGCCAGACUGAUCCAGUUAGGGUGCAAGCCAGCGCCAGUCCUCUGCUUAGACAGCCACAGAGGCCGUAUCACUCAGUGUACAGCCAUAGUCCUCCCCAGGUCCUCCUUG